rnacentral:piRNA from 1 species
UGGUUUGCGCUAUAGACUGGCUCCGGUGU